rnacentral:lncRNA from 1 species
GUAGACCCAAAAGAGCAACAUCACAAUGCCUCCGGAACAAGAGAAUAUGAACUAGCUCAUACGGAAGAAGAGAAUGAAGAAAAGAAUGACAACUACUAUCUCAAAUGAACUUGGCAAGCAUCCAUGCAAGAAGAAUUGAACGGAGUUGUUGACAAAACAACAACGAAAAGAAAAAGACAGUAGUGGGCUUAUGAAAAUCAUCUCAACAUUUAUGAGGUGACAACCAACCACUAAAAGAAACAAGGAUUGUUUGGGAGAAACAAGAUAUGAACAAUUUCUUAC